rnacentral:rRNA from 1 species
UACAGAGGGUGCAAGCGUUAAUCGGAAUUACUGGGCGUAAAGGGUGCGUAGGAGGUUUGAUAAGUUAGGUGUGAAAUUCCUGGGCUUAACCUGGGGACUGCGCCUAAUACUGUUAAGCUAGAGUGUUGUAGAGGAAGGUGGAAUUUCCAGUGUAGCGGUGAAAUGCGUAGAUAUUGGAAGGAACAUCGGUGGCGAAGGCGACCUUCUGGACAACGACUGACACUGAGGCACGAAAGCGUGGGUAGCAAACAGG